rnacentral:rRNA from 1 species
UACGUAGGUGGCAAGCGUUGUCCGGAAUUAUUGGGCGUAAAGCGCGCGCAGGCGGGAAUAUAAGUCUAACUUAAAAGUGCGGGGCUCAACCCCGUGAGGGGUUAGAAACUAUAUUUCUUGAGUACAGGAGAGGAAAGUGGAAUUCCCAGUGUAGCGGUGAAAUGCGUAGAGAUUGGGAGGAACACCAGUGGCGAAGGCGGCUUUCUGGACUGUGUCUGACGCUGAGGCGCGAAAGCCAGGGUAGUGAACG